GCGCAGCCUGAUGGAGCACACCGCGUGAGUGAAGAAGGGUUUCGGCUCGUAAAGCUCUGUUGUUGGAGAAGAACGUGCGUGAGAGUAACUGUUCACGCAGUGACGGUAUCCAACCAGAAAGUCACGGCUAACUACGUGCCAGCAGCCGCGGUAAUACGUAGGUGGCAAGCGUUAUCCGGAUUUAUUGGGCGUAAAGCGAGCGCAGGCGGUUGCUUAGGUCUGAUGUGAAAGCCUUCGGCUUAACCGAAGAAGUGCAUCGGAAACCGGGCGACUUGAGUGCAGAAGAGGACAGUGGAACUCCAUGUGUAGCGGUGGAAUGCGUAGAUAUAUGGAAGAACACCAGUGGCGAAGGCGGCUGUCUGGUCUGCAACUGACGCUGAGGCUCGAAAGCAUGGGUAGCGAACAGGAUUAGAUACC
rnacentral:rRNA from 1 species